CGCUCGCUCCAUGCUAUGGUCAACCACGACCGAAUCCCCCUGACCCCACCGCAUGGCUCCAAGCCAUCCCAGGUGCCCCAACCGCUCGAACCCUAAUCCAAAGUCGCCGCCGCGUGCAGCCAUCUCUGCCCCUCGCCGCGCCGUCUAGGUGCAUCACCCAUAGUCGCUCGGUACACCGUCGUCUCCGUCUCCUUCCCCGCGCACUUUCAUCCAGCGCGCACCCGUAGCCGAUAUCCACGACGAAUUUGUCCUCCCUCUCGCCAAAUUGUUUGCCUACUACAGGAUUUGGAGACAAGAGUGACCAAGAGAAGCACCUGCCCCUGCAUGCACAAGAAAUCGGAACCGAUCGGCCAGGAUGCGCCGACGAACCGCUUCAGGUAUCGCCUCCUUACUCACUCCAGCGGCAUCUAAAGACAGAGGUGGCAUGCGCUGAUAAGAUCUGGCUGAGAUUGUGGGCUAGUUCCAUGCUAGCCUCACGUGGAUCCCAAUCCGCGGUGUCGGCGCUCAGGAUGCUCUGCUUCUCGAAGGAAGAGGUUGACGCACUGGUGGAGCAUAUGAAUGGCGAUAUGCGCGUCAGAUUUGUUGGUGUUCCUGUGGCGCUGAACAAGGAAUCAUAAAAGCAUAUGGAGGAACUAUGUAUAAGCUACAAAGAAGCAUUUUUAUAGCAGAAGCCAAGUGUUCUGAUGAUUUUGUUUUUUCAAUUGUGUUUUCUGUUAUUGGUUUAGCAUGCACAUAUAUUGAAAUGAUUUAUGGCAUCGCAUCUGCUAUCUUUGUUAUAUUUAUGACAUCGUUCUUGAUUGAUGUGUGCGAUAUGAAUGAUGGAUCUUUUUAACAUCCUGACCAUUAUUGUGUCGCUCAUUAUCGUAUUUUGUAUAUCAUUUAUGGGUUCACGGAUAUGAAAUGACAGGUUUCUUAUUUUUGAGAU